UACGGGGGGGGCAAGCGUUGUUCGGAAUUACUGGGCGUAAAGGGCUCGUAGGCGGCCAACUAAGUCGGACGUGAAAUCCCUCGGCUUAACCGGGGAACUGCGUCCGAUACUGGAUGGCUUGAGUUCGGGAGAGGGAUGCGGAAUUCCGCGUGUAGCAGUGAAAUGCGUAGAUAUCUGGAGGAACACCGGUGGCGAAGGCGGCAUCCUGGACCAAUUCUGACGCUGAGGAGCGAAAGCCAGGGGAGCAAACGGG
rnacentral:rRNA from 1 species